ACUGUUUUUAAGUAUACCAUUUUAUAAAGGCAUCAUUUUAGUAUUGCAAAUGGUACAAUGUUAAAAACAUAAAAAGAAAAAGUUAUGUUUUUUUUUUUUUUUUUGCAUAUUGCUUGUUAAUGUGCCCAUAUUCUCAAUAGGAAAAAGAGUAGAUCACCUGCUUCAGGAGAGUCGGCAGCAGGAUCAACAGAGAUUGCUGGAAAAAAAAAUUCAAAAGGAAUAAGAUAUGUUUUUCAGCGUGAUUUUCUCAUGAAUGAAGAGUCACGGAUUGUUAUUUGUUUUUUAUAUUCUUACCCGCUGGAUCAGGUGCUGCAGUGGUUGACACGCAAGACCUAGAAUAAAAAAACGAGAAGAAAGAAAAAACGCAAAUGUACCCAAAACUGAGGUGAAGGCUACACUGCAUAUUCAUGCGAAUCCAUCAGAUAAAAAAAAAUGGGAGACCCAAUUCGAGUGUGUGGAGAAGGAAAAUGCAUAGUCGAAGAAUCGUGAUCAACACACAAAUGCUUCACACACGACACGUAUGUAUCUCUUUUCACUUUCACAACAAAAUUGAUAUUCUUCUUGUAUCUAAAGACAACCGUUGUUUACAAUAACAUAACUCUAGACUUUAACCGUCCUUUAUCAUUUGCCAGCCACCGAGAAGCGUCAAAUCUGCAAUUCUUAAUGUAUACGUGACAAGGACUGACAUUUUUCGUCCGAGAAAAACAAACGCAUCAGCCCAUCAAAAGAGGUCAUCGCGAAAGCCCUCGAAAACUUGCCUUUUGUCACUAGGUAAACCCUAGACGCCAAUUGACUUAUCGCCAAAGGAUCGACCUUGGCCAAUAUUUUUACUGGAACUCUAUACUGGGCCAAGUUCGUCCCCCCUGAAAUCGACUGAUGACAACUAAAGUCGAACCAUCACCGGUCUCCAAGAAACUAGACAGCCUUCAGCCACACAACGUGAAGCAAUCUGGAAUCCACUAGAAAUGUUGACGUUGCGAACGUUUGGAGGCACGCGGCGGGCCCGCCUUGGCAACGACACUAGUAACUAUUAUUAGGAAAGAUGGUCUUUAGAAAAGAAGCCCUGCGAUUGGUGAUGGAGAGCUUUUGCGUCACACUGCGCAAGAGGUACCGGAAUGGCGUGAUUGAAGCCACAGAAUAAAAACAAGAAAAAUUUGUACUCGCCGAUAGAAACUGCUUGAAUUCAAAUUUGUCUUAUAUGACUUACGCCAUUUCUUUUUCGGCUGCUUCUUCGGCGCUGAUGUCUUCCUCAGCGGAAUAAUCCAAGAUGGAUUUGACUCCAAACGACCGCAUACGUUGAAUAACGGGCAUAAUAUCUUGUUGAUUCUCGCCAGCAACGAAUUGUCCAUAGAAUGUUGCCUUCAUCAACGAUUUGAAAAGACGUUUGCCCAAGACCUUCUUUCCCAAUUUCAUUAGCUGCCAGCAGUGUUAAAACACGUAAAUAAUUAUUGUUCUUGUUACUACCGAAUAUGUCAAACGAGUCAUGCUGUGUCCCAUAAUGUCUUCUUACCUUCAUAUUGUUCUCAACCAAAUAGUUGGAAGAACAAAGCGUGAAAACCAAAUAGGCACGAAGGAUCUGUAAUGUAGUUUUACUGCGAAAUGCAGCUUCGGCAUUGUCAAAAGACAAGUCCAGUGGAUCUCGUCGUCCUAUUGAAGCAGACGCGGGGAGAGCCGUUUUACCGUCAUCGCUGAUGUCUGUUUGUCGUUUGUUAAUACCCACACU